AUACUUACCUGGCUGGGAGAUACCGUGAUCACGAAGGCGGUUUCCCAGGACGAGGCUCACCAUUUGCACUCCGGUGGCGCUGACCCCUGCGGUGCUUAAAUGGUUAACUCGAGUGUGCAAUUUUUGGUAGCGGGGGACUGCGUUCGCGCUAUCCCCUU
rnacentral:snRNA from 1 species